rnacentral:rRNA from 1 species
UGGGGAAUAUUGCGCAAUGGGCGAAAGCCUGACGCAGCGACGCCGCGUGGGGGAUGAAGGCCUUCGGGUUGUAAACCCCUUUCAGCAGGGACGACGCGAAAGUGACGGUACCUGCAGAAGAAGCGCCGGCCAACUACGUGCCAGCAGCCGCGGUAAGACGUAGGGCGCGAGCGUUGUCCGGAUUUAUUGGGCGUAAAGAGCUCGUAGGCGGCUUGUCGCGUCGUCCGUGAAAACCCGUGGCUCAACUGCGGGCUUGCGGUCGAUACGGGCAGGCUGGAGUUCGGUAGGGGAGACUGGAAUUCCUGGUGUAGCGGUGAAAUGCGCAGAUAUCAGGAGGAACACCGGUGGCGAAGGCGGGUCUCUGGGCCGAUACUGACGCUGAGGAGCGAAAGCGUGGGGAGCGAAC